CCAGACUCCUACGGGAGGCAGCAGUGAGGAAUAUUGGUCAAUGGGCGCGAGCCUGAACCAGCCAAGUCGCGUGAAGGACGAAGGUGCCAAGCAUUGUAAACUUCUUUUGUCAAGGGACAAAAUCAGGCUCGAGAGCCUGACCGGGGGUACUUGAAGAAAAAGCAUCGGCUAACUCCGUGCCAGCAGCCGCGGUAAUACGGAGGAUGCGAGCGUUAUCCGGAUUUAUUGGGUUUAAAGGGUGCGUAGGCGGAGUGUUAAGGCGGCGGUAAAGGCCGGGGGCUCACCCCCGGCGAGCCGUUGAAACUGGCUGUCUUGAGAUGUCGAGAGGUAUGCGGAAUGCGCAGUGUAGCGGUGAAAUGCUUAGAUAUUGCGCAGAACUCCGAUUGCGAAGGCAGCAUACCGGCGGCGAUCUGACGCUGAGGCACGAAAGCGUGGGUAUCGAACAGGAUUAGAUACCCCUGUA
rnacentral:rRNA from 1 species